GAUGAACGCUAGCGGCGGGCUUAAUACAUGCAAGUCAAGGGGUAGCAAUACACCGGCGUACGGGUGCGUAACGCGUAUGGAACCUGCCCUUAUCUGGGGGAUAACUCGGGGAAACUCGAGCUAAUACCGCAUAAGAUAGUAGAAUGGCAUCAUUCAGCUAUUAAAGAUUUAUCGGAUAAGGAUGGCCAUGCGUAAGAUUAGAUAGUUGGUGGGGUAACGGCUCACCAAGUCUACGAUCUUUAGGGGCUCUGAGAGGAGAAUCCCCCACACUGGCACUGAGAUACGGGCCAGACUCCUACGGGAGGCAGCAGUAGGGAAUAUUGGGCAAUGGGCGGAAGCCUGACCCAGCCACGCCGCGUGCAGGAAGAAGGCCCUCUGGGUUGUAAACUGCUUUUGAUUGGGAAGAAAGCAUCUCAUGCGUGAGAUUUUGACGGUACCAAUCGAAUAAGCCACGGCUAACUACGUGCCAGCCGCCGCCGUAACAC
rnacentral:rRNA from 1 species